UUAGCUGGAGCACAAGAAUGACUUCUAAUCUCUCUUGGGGCAGUUCAAUUCUGUCCAUCUUAG
rnacentral:tRNA from 1 species